GACGAACGCUGGCGGCAUGCCUAACACAUGCAAGUCGAACGAGACCUUCGGGUCUAGUGGCGCACGGGUGCGUAACGCGUGGGAACCUGCCCUUAGGUUCGGAAUAACUCCCCGAAAGGGGUGCUAAUACCGGAUAAUGUCUUCGGACCAAAGAUUUAUCGCCUUUGGAUGGGCCCGCGUUGGAUUAGCUAGUUGGUAGGGUAAAAGCCUACCAAGGCGACGAUCCAUAGCUGGUCUGAGAGGAUGAUCAGCCACACUGGGACUGAGACACGGCCCAGACUCCUACGGGAGGCAGCAGUGGGGAAUAUUGGACAAUGGGCGAAAGCCUGAUCCAGCAAUGCCGCGUGAGUGAUGAAGGCCUUAGGGUUGUAAAGCUCUUUUACCCGGGAUGAUAAUGACAGUACCGGGAGAAUAAGCUCCGGCUAACUCCGU
rnacentral:rRNA from 1 species